rnacentral:rRNA from 1 species
GACGAACGCUGGCGGCGUGCUUAACACAUGCAAGUCGAACGGAAAGGCCCUGCUUUUGUGGGGUGCUCGAGUGGCGAACGGGUGAGUAACACGUGAGUAACCUGCCCUUGACUUUGGGAUAACUUCAGGAAACUGGGGCUAAUACCGGAUAGGAGCUCCUGCUGCAUGGUGGGGGUUGGAAAGUUUCGGCGGUUGGGGAUGGACUCGCGGCUUAUCAGCUUGUUGGUGGGGUAGUGGCUUACCAAGGCUUUGACGGGUAGCCGGCCUGAGAGCGUGACCGGCCACCUUGGGACUGAGAUACGGCCCAGACUCCUACGUGCGGCAGCAGUGGGGAAUAUUGCACAAUGGGCGGAAGCCUGAUGCAGCAACGCCGCGUGCGUGAUGACGGCCUUCGGGUUGUAAACCGCUUUCGCCUGUGACGAAGCGUGAGUGACGGUAAUGGGUAAAGAAGCACCGGCUAACUACGUG